UUUUUCUCAGCUAAGUGAAGAGAUGAGCAAUGUCUAUAGAAACGUACUGUCUCAUAUCGAUCCCAUUGGCAAAGAAAAUUUCUUCUUUACCUUACUGAGUCACAACGAAAAUUUCAAGCAUUUCUGGAUAAAACCUUCAAUUUGAGGAUUAUAUGCAUAACUGAAAAGGGCUUUGCAAAUUAGCAUCUUUUGCCUAUCCUUACGAAACAAGCUCACUUCACCAUUCCAGGUGUAAGUUAAAGUAAACACAGUAAUUCUAACCUGGAGCUGUAGGGUAUACACCCUAGGGAGGUGGAAGCUAUGUAGAAUUCAUAUUCCCAGAAUGCCUUAUAGCUAGGAUAUGAAUGAUUAACCUGGCCUCAGCCAAUUAGAACAUCUGCCAGAGACUUAAGUUCAGAUGUAACCAUCGUGAAGAAGUGGCUGGGCAGGAGUAUCAACUCCGGGCAAAGGAUGUCUCUUCUGAAGCAACAGCGCCCAGGGCUAAGUCAUGUUUGCUCAGCAGGAGUGCUCAUAUUUCUCAAGAGAUGCCUCAGUGGGGUUGGGCAUUAUUCACAGCUGUGUAACCUCAAAAUCUGGCUUUCUGGCCCAAAUGAAUGUUCUGUGAGUUACUUGAAACCCUUUAAUAAAUUCUUUGCCUGCUUAAAAUAGCCACAGUGAAUUCUGUUUGCAACUUAGAACCCCC
rnacentral:lncRNA from 1 species